ACACAGCGCGCUAUUUUAAUCCCGGCAAGGGUCUUCUCGGGAGCGAGGCAGAGCCCGGCUGUGCAGAGUUAAGAAUGAAUCCCUAUUUUUAGCCUGUCCUGGGUGAGGGAACAUGUGAGGCUUCAGCUGAAUUCUUUCCCUCUGCCUUUUGUGAGCCUCUCUGCAGGGAAGCCCCGGAUUCCAGGCCAGCAUUCCCUCCCACCGGUGACCUCCAAGCACCCGACGCUGAGGGCGCAGCGCUGGAACUGCUGGUGAUUAAAUCCAGCCCAGUUCGAUAAUGGCAAGAAGUCACGGGCGUGUUUGAUUGCUCGAGUGUCCUACAUGGCCAUGGCUCCGCCGCAGAGCAGCGGCUGCCGGGUGUGAGCGAGCUCCUCUCCCAGAGCUGCUGCCACCACUGAGGAACCAUCGCUGGCUGGCUUUUAGCACUGCAGCUCCUCAGGGGGAAACAACUGCUGUUAAUAUUCAUGGAAGGGAGGGAGAUGAAAAGGCACCCAAGAAGGGAGCUCGUGGCAGGGUACCAAGGAUGUCUCAGCAGGUUUUAUCCUGUGCUCUUGCUGGGAAGAGGAGGGUUCACAGCCUGACUGCAGCUGUUCUCACACGACAGAAAUUCUCCAGCAUUGCCUUUAUGCCAGCUACCCCUAAACUCAAUUCUGAGGCUCCACUGAAUCAAGUAUUAAUCUGAGGCAGCCUGAGCUCCCUCUGAAGUGAAGGCUCUUCCCUCAGUGAGCUCAGUCUAGUUCUAGAAAGUUUAAUUCCUGGCAGCCUUAGCUGUAAAGCCAUGGCUGGAAAUGCAAAAAAACCCAGACUUGAUCUCUCCUGAAUAAAAACUUCAUUUGUUACAGCUGUG